GAGUUUGAUCAUGGCUCAGAUUGAACGCUGGCGGCAUGCCUUACACAUGCAAGUCGAACGGCAGCACGGGAGCUUGCUCCUGGUGGCGAGUGGCGAACGGGUGAGUAAUGCAUCGGAACGUAUCCUGGAGUGGGGGAUAACGUAGCGAAAGUUACGCUAAUACCGCAUAUUCUGUGAGCAGGAAAGCGGGGGACCUUCGGGGCCUCGCGCUCUUGGAGCGGCCGAUGUCGGAUUAGCUAGUUGGUGAGGUAAAGGCUCACCAAGGCGACGAUCCGUAGCAGGUCUGAGAGGAUGAUCUGCCACACUGGAACUGAGACACGGUCCAGACUCCUACGGGAGGCAGCAGUGGGGAAUUUUGGACAAUGGGGGCAACCCUGAUCCAGCCAUGCCGCGUGAGUGAAGAAGGCCU
rnacentral:rRNA from 1 species